rnacentral:SRP_RNA from 1 species
GCCGAGUUGGGUAACUCCAGCUUGUGACCCGAGUGGGGGCAUUAAUGUGGUGGAACAAGGUUCAUGAUUCACUAGGUUGGGUCGGUUAAUGCAUUACGCUGGCCUGCCCGCCCCAAGUUGAGAGUUGUCUAAUGGGUCCUGGGCGAAGGCUCAAUUCUCGUUGGUCCUAGACGUGAGGGCACCGCGUGAGGCUGGCUUCACAGAGCAGCGAACACCUCCGGCUCCUGACAGUGGAGGGAUAACAGGCCGCUGCACUUCUGGUCCACAAUGCCUGGUGAGCCUAGCCUCUUGAACCACCACUUUU